GGAGUUAGCCGGUGCUUCUUCUGUGAGUGAUGUCCUUCCUGCCGGCUAUUAACCCGCAGGCCUUCUUCCUCACUGAAAGUGCUUUACAACCCGAAGGCCUUCUUCACACACGCGGCAUGGCUGGAUCAGGGUUGCCCCCAUUGUCCAAUAUUCCCCACUGCUGCCUCCCGUAGGAGUCUGGGCCGUGUCUCAGUCCCAGUGUGGCUGAUCAUCCUCUCAGACCAGCUACGGAUCGUCGCCUUGGUGAGCCGUUACCUCACCAACCAGCUAAUCCGACAUAGGCUCAUCCGAUAGCGCGAGGCCCGAAGGUCCCCCGCUUUCCCCCGUAGGGCGUAUGCGGUAUUAGCCUGGGUUUCCCCAGGUUAUCCCCCACUACCGGGCAGAUUCCUAUGCAUUACUCACCCGUCCGCCGCUCGCCACCAGGGAGCAAGCUCCCCGUGCUGCCGCUCGACUUGCNUGUGUAGCUCGCCGCCACGCGUCAUCUGAGCCAUAAUACAACUACUCGA
rnacentral:rRNA from 1 species